rnacentral:rRNA from 1 species
UGGGCAACCUGCUCCAGACUCUGGGAUAACUCCGGGAAACCGGGGCUAAUACCGGAUACUCCGAUCGGACGACAUCGUCUGACCGGGAAAGCUCCGACGGUCUGGGAUGGGCCCGCGGCCUAUCAGCUUGUUGGUGGGGUCAUGGCUCACCAAGGCGACGACGGGUAGCUGGUCUGAGAGGACGACCAGCCACACUGGAACUGAGACACGGCCCAGACUCCUACGGGAG